rnacentral:hammerhead_ribozyme from 1 species
AUCCAGCUGACGAUCCCAAAUAGGACGAAACGCGCGCGUCCUGGAU